rnacentral:tRNA from 1 species
GCCCUUUUAACUCAGUGGUAGAGUAUAUCCUUGGUAAGGAUAAAGUCACCAGUUCAAAUCUGGUAAAGGGCU